GUCAUUGAAGUUAGAUUCAAGUUUUAUUCAAGUUACUUCUCAAGUUUUUUUAUAAAACUUUAAGUUCUUUAUUUCCCUCUUUUGUAAAUCUUUCCUUUACUAUUAGUUUCUUUCUGUAACCUUUCAACCGUCUGUCCUUCUUGUAAUUGGAAUAUUAUUGAACUUUGAUUCAAGUUACUUCUCAAGUUUUUUCAGAAACUUUAAGUUCUUUCUUUCCAUCUUUUGUAAAUAUUUCAUUUACUAUUAAUUUCCUUCCGUAAUCUUUCAACUAUUCCUCCUUCCUGUAAUUGGUAUUAGAGCUAUAGUUAACGAUUUCUAGUGAAAUAGUAUCGUAGUGUUCAUUUUGAGGAGAUUGGCUUUUUAAAGUAAGAGAAUUUAGUAGAUAACUGACGGUUUUAGGUAUGGUGAGUAUAGGAGAGUAAAAAGAGCUAGAAACGGGCCAAAAACGGAGAAAAUGAGUCAAUGUGGGAAAUCAACACAGCCUGGACUUCCUCACACGGGUAGUUCACACGCUCGUGUCUAUUUAACAAUUGUAACACGGCUUAAGCCACCUCACACGGGCGUGUCCCUGUUGAGCCUAAGUCUAAUUCUACUCGGAAAAGGCCACUUUUGAGGGUUUUGAAGCAUUCUAAAGUCUAUAUAAACAUCCGAUGAGGCACCUAAGAGACACGCGGAGUAGGAGGCAAGGAAUUACUCGAAGAAAGCCGAUUGAUCCAUCUCAGAAGCCAAAUUCUCCUUCAAGACUGAAGAUCUCCCUUCAAUUUCCUUCAGGGGUUUUUGGGUUUUCUUUAUGUUUUGUUAUUAUUAUUCUUCUGAGAUGUUUCCUUUUACACUUAUGAACCAAAUCCCCUAAAUACCUAAGAGGAAUGAAACCUAAGAUGGAUCUUGUUAUUAUUUUCUAAAUUAUAUGAUAAAUACUUGAUUUGUUCUUAA